rnacentral:rRNA from 1 species
UACGUAGGGUGCAAGCGUUAAUCGGAAUUACUGGGCGUAAAGCGUGCGCAGGCGGUUAUGUAAGACAGGUGUGAAAUCCCCGGGCUUAACCUGGGAACUGCAUUUGUGACUGCAUAGCUAGAGUACGGGUAGAGGGGGAUGGAAUUCCGCGUGUAGCAGUGAAAUGCGUAGAUAUGCGGAGGAACACCGAUGGCGAAGGCAAUCCCCUGGACCUGUACUGACGCUCAUGCACGAAAGGCGUGGGGAGCAAACAGG